rnacentral:lncRNA from 1 species
GUGUUGUGGAGCGCACCCAGGGCGCGGUGGGCGCCCAGCCCGGAGUGCUGGGGCCGCCCCCAGCGGUGUCCCUGUGCCCGGAGCUGCCAGGUCUGAGCGUCUCCCCUCAGUCCUGGCGUUGCUUUUCGUCUUUUCCCAUCAGUCAGAGGGAAUUUUCCCGUCCCCCCCCUGUCCCCGUAGUCUGCGAGGGCAGGGUAUGGGCUUUCUGAAAAGGUAGCUGUUGUAGAACUGCUCCGCUUCUAUCCGGGUAAAUCCGGGGCGAUGAUAGUCCUCGAUGACGGCUGGAGAGUGAAAUAAGGGCGAACAUUCUGUGUUGUUACUUGAAAAUGAAAGAUGGAAGAAUUUUCACUUUUCUGGCCUUUUCCUGAUGACAGUGGCUUUGACUGGGGGCCCUGAUCUCCCAAAUGCUGAUUGUCUUAUGUUCCUCAGUUCUGAAAACCUUCAAGCAUACAGUCAGGUGUCCUGCCAGCAGCUCUGCAGCAGUCACUGCUUUUGCAAUAUUGGGCUCUGCUCAUUUCAAAACUGUGAAGCAAUCCAGCUUAGCAGUCAGCAGAGUGUAAAACUGAAUAGUAGGAAGCAUUGGAGAGCACCUACUCCAGUUUCAAGCAGAAGAAAGCCUUAA